AUGGAACAAAAUAAUGGCACUGAAGUGACUGAAUUCAUUCUCCUGGGAUUUGCUGGUCAACACAAGUCUUGGCAUAUCCUCUCCAUAGCAUUUCUAGCAAUCUAUGUGGUUACCCCAGUAGGUAAUAUUGGAAUGAUCCUACUUAUCAAAAUUGAUGCUUCUCUUCAUAUCCCCAUGUAAAUUUUCCUCCAACACUUGGCAUUUGUUGAUCUCUGUUACACCUCUGCUAUCACUCCCAAGAUGUUGAAAAACUUUGUAGAAACAAAAAAAUCUAUCUCAUGUAUAGGAUGUAUGGUGCAAUUACUAGUUUAUGGUACUUUGCAACAAGUGACUGCUACAUCCUGGCUGCUAUGGCAGUAGACCGUUAUGUGGCCUUCUGUAACCCACUCCAUUAUCCAGGGGUUAUGUCCCAGAGACUCUGCAUUAAGCUAUUAGUUAGUUCAUAUGUCAUGGGUUUCCUAAAUGCCUCUAUAAACAUAAGUUUCACUUUCUCAUUGAACUUCUGCAAAUCCAAAACAAUUAAUCACUUUUUCUGUGAUGAACCUCCAAUUAUUGCCCUACCAUGCUCCAAUAUUGACCUCAACAUCAUGUUAUUAACAGUAUUUGUGGGAUUAAAUUUGAUGUGCACUGUGAUGGUGGUCAUCAUUUCCUGCAUAUAUGUCCUGGUUGCCAUCCUGAGGAUAUCUUCUGCUGCAGGGAAGAAAAAAGUCUCUCUACAUGUGCCUCCCACCUGACAGCAGUCACCAUUUUCUAUGGGGUUCUCUCUUACAUGUAUCUAUGCCAUCGUAUUAAUGAGUCUCAAAAACAAGAAAAAGUGGCCUCUGUGUUUUAUGGCAUUAUUAUUCCCAUGUUAAACCCCUUGAUUUACAGCCAGAGAAACCAAGAUGUGAUUGAAGCCAUAAAACUAACAGAAAAAAAGUAUUUCUA